GGGUUUGUAGCUCAGGUGGUUAGAGCGCACGCCUGAUAAGCGUGAGGUCGGAGGUUCAACUCCUCCCAGACCCA
rnacentral:tRNA from 1 species